CCUACGGGUGGCAGCAGUGAGGAAUAUUGGUCAAUGGACGAGAGUCUGAACCAGCCAAGUAGCGUGAAGGAUGACUGCCCUAUGGGUUGUAAACUUCUUUUAUAUGGGAAUAAAACAGGGUAUGCAUACCCUCUUGUAUGUACCAUAUGAAUAAGGAUCGGCUAACUCCGUGCCAGCAGCCGCGGUAAUACGGAGGAUCCGAGCGUUAUCCGGAUUUAUUGGGUUUAAAGGGUGCGUAGGUGGAUUGUUAAGUCAGUUGUGAAAGUUUGCGGCUCAACCGUAAAAUUGCAGUUGAAACUGGGAGUCUUGAGGACAGUAGAGGUGGGCGGAAUUCGGAGUGUAGCGGUGAAAUGCUUAGAUAUCACGAGGAACUCCGAUGGCGAAGGCAGCUCACUGGACUGCAACUGACACUGAGGCGCGAAAGUGUGGGUAGCGAACGGGAUUAGAUACCCUGGUAGUC
rnacentral:rRNA from 1 species